GGUACCACCUCACACCACACAGAAUGGCCAUCACUAAAAAGUCUACAAAUAACAUACCUAGUUGAUCAUGCCAGUAGCACAUGCUUGUCUCAAAGAUUAAACCAUGCCUGUCUAAGUACGCAUGGCUGGUACAGUGAAACUGUGAAUGGCUCAUUAAAUCAGUUAUGGUUCCUUUGGUCACUCGCUCCUCUCCAACAUGGACAACUGUGGCAGAA